CAUCUGUCGCAGGAUAUGUUUCCUGCCUGAUGAGUCCCCGCCUCCGCCGACGCUUCGGCGGGCGUAGCGAAAGGACGAAACAGAAG
rnacentral:hammerhead_ribozyme from 2 species